rnacentral:rRNA from 1 species
UUUAUGGAGAGUUUGAUCCUGGCUCAGGAUGAACGCUGGCGGCGUGCCUAAUACAUGCAAGUCGAGCGAACGGACGAGAAGCUUGCUUCUCUGAUGUUAGCGGCGGACGGGUGAGUAACACGUGGAUAACCUACCUAUAAGACUGGGAUAACUUCGGGAAACCGGAGCUAAUACCGGAUAAUAUUAUGAACCGCAUGGUUCAAAAGUGAAAGACGGUCUUGCUGUCACUUAUAGAUGGAUCCGCGCUGCAUUAGCUAGUUGGUAAGGUAACGGCUUACCAAGGCAACGAUGCAUAGCCGACCUGAGAGGGUGAUCGGCCACACUGGAACUGAGACACGGUCCAGACUCCUACGGGAGGCAGCAGUAGGGAAUCUUCCGCAAUGGGCGAAAGCCUGACGGAGCAACGCCGCGUGAGUGAUGAAGGUCUUCGGAUCGUAAAACUCUGUUAUUAGGGAAGAACAUAUGUGUAAGUAACUGUGCACAUCUUGACG